UCCAAUAACCUUUCCCAAAUAUUCUUAUGGCAUCAAAUCCCAUUUGAUUUUGGAAGUCAAGUGAGGUCAUCCUUGAUUAGUACUUGGAUGGUGGACCCCAAGAGAUGUCUAGUGCUGUCGGCU
rnacentral:rRNA from 1 species